UUGGCUAUGACUUCAAAAUUGAAAACACAAUGUGUUUGCAGACCUUAUCAGGGAAUUUAAAUCAAAGCUGUGUGGUCCUUUUUCUUCCCACACACCUUUCUUAAGAGGCAGUUUUGACUCAUUUCCUCCUUCUCACUUAGGGAUUUGUUCUGUCCUCAGACACACAGGAAGUCCCCAAGAAAUGAACAGUCUGUCUCUGAAAGGGACAGCAGAGUCCUCAAAGGAACAGCUCCCACCUGGGAAUCGAAGAAUCACAGUGCCCGCUCUUGAUUCUUUAUAGAGAAACAUAGUUGGGGCUAAAUUGUUAGAACGGCCAUAGAACUGCUCUCUGUUUGGGUUCCCGGUAAAGCACAGGAACUUCAGUCAGCAGAGGAGGUGGGUACCUAACCUGGCAAAAUCCAUCUCAUCCUGGGGGCUGGGCACCACCUGCCUCCUCAGAGAAAUUGAAGAGAGCUUUCUUCUGGGUGAGGACCACCAAAGCAUGGCUGCCACACAGGGGACAGAGCCAGGGAAGGUGGAGGGGCGACACCUGUGCAUACUUGUGCACUGGAUCUGAUCUGCCAGUUUGUUAGGAAUGAGGGUGGCAUGUCCCUAAAGUCAUCACAACCAUCCCUAACAUUUAUUUAGUGUUACUCCAGAAGGCUGUUUCUAAAUUAGGAUAAAUUACACACAACAUAACAUUUACCAUUUUAACUAUUUUAAAGCAUGCAACAUGGUGACAUCUAGCACAUUCAUAAUGUUGCAAAGACAUAAUAACCAUCUACUCCCCAAAUUUUCCCAUCAUCCCAACAGAAGCCCCACCUCCACAGCCACCUGAAGCCACUCUCCCUUUUCUCCAUCUAGGGUUAAUAACAGGCUCAGCUACCAAAUCCUAUGUAUGUGCUAGAUUACUACAGUGGUAUCCACUAGCUUGCAACACACUCAAAACUUUUUCUCCAUGCUGCACAAGGCUGAUUUGGUAUGAAAAGACUUCACUGCAGUGGAAAUGCAGGGCAUAGCUAGCUAGGCAGGUACCCGCAUGUCGGCAAUCUUACAAACGUCACAAACAAGAGGCUUCUAGCUUCCUACUACAAAGUGCGUGCCAGUCACUGAAAGAGCACCAGGCCCAAUGGUGGUUUCCACUCCUCUGCUUUCUCUCUAUGGAUAUGCCGAUUCUAGACAUUUCAUUGAAACGGAAUCAUAUGAUGGGGGAGCAGAUGAGAGUGUUUCCAUGAUCUGUGGGUGACCCCAAUCCCGUGGAUGCAACUCUCAGAGGGAAGUUUGGGGGGAGACUUGUGAGGGAUCACUGUAGGCAUCUGGGAUUCUGGGAGGGCUGAAGUUGCAGGGGGAGAGGCUUGAGGAGGGUGCAGAGGUGAGCAGAGGAAGGUCCCUCCUGCUUCUGUGCAAGGCCCAGGGCCCUGUGGACAGUGUGGCACUGGAGCCAUGUGGGGGCCUCUGGACACAUGCACAGAGGUGGGGACAAGCAAUCGAAGAGCAUGGAAAAUCUGUGCCUCACUAAUGAUUCACUGAGCUGUGCAGCCCCACAAAUCAAUCAGCUCAGAAUCUGGUUGGGUGACUGUUCUCCCCCAGGCCCUGCCCUCAGCCUGGCCAGCAACCAGCCCUCUUGGGGACAGGUCAGUCCUGGAUAAAACACUCUCAUUGCUCCCAGAUCUUGCUCUUUCUCAUCCCACUACCCCCAGCCAGCAUGGUCUUCUCCUACCAAUAAAGGAAACCCUUUCUGACCUAAGGAAAGAGCACCAUAUGAUCCAAAAACCCCAUUCCUGGGCAUAUACCCAGACUAAACUGCAAUUUAAAAAGAUCCAUGCACCCCUGUGUUCAUUGCAGCACUAUUCACAAUAGCCAAGACAUGGAAACAACCUAAAUGUCCAUCAACAGAGGAAUGGAUAAAGAAGAUGUGGUACAUAUACACAAUGAAUACUACUCAGCCAUAAGAGAAUGAAAUAAUGUUAUUUGCAUUGGCUGGAACUAGAGAUGAUCAUACUAAGUGAAGUAAGUCAGAAAGAGAAAGACAAAUACCACAGGAUAUCACUUAUGUGUGGAAUCUAAAAUGUGACACAAAUGAACCUGACUUCCUGUCUGUGAGUCUGACAGAAACAGACUCACAGACAAGAAGAACACACUUGUGGUUGCCAAGGAGGAGAGGGAAGGAGAGGGGUAGACUGGGAGUUUGGGAUUAGCAGAUGCAAACUAGUAUACACAGUACUAUAUAUAGGAAGAAUAAACAACAAGAUCCUUCUAUCGAGCACAGAGAACACUAUUCAAUAUCCUGUGAUGAACCAUAAUGGAAAAGAAUAUGAAAAAGAACGUAUAUAUAACAUAUAUAUAUAUCACUUUGCUGUACAGAAGAAACUAACACAAAACUGUAAAUCAACUAUACUUCAAAAAAAAAAAAAAAAAAGGAAACCAGAUUUCCUGCUAUGGCUCAGUGAUAACUAACCCAACUAGUAUCCAUGAGGAUGUGGGUUCGAUCCCUGGCCUCGCUCAGUGGUUAAGGAUCUGGCACUGCUGUGAGCUGCGGUGUAAGUUAUAGAUAUGGCUCAGAUCUGGCAUUGUUGUGGCUGUGGUUUAGGCCAGCAGCUGUAGCUCCAAUUCAACCCCUAGCCUGGGAACUUCCAUAUGCUGUAAGUGCGGUCCUAAAAAGAAAAAAAGAGAGAAAGAGAGAGAAGUUAAAAAAAAAAAAAAAAAAAAAAAGGAAAGGAAACCCUUUCUGACCAGAUGCCUGCAGACAAAGACUCAGAGCAAGAGUUCUGUGAAUGACACCUCCACCUUCAAGGCCCAGUGUGCUUCUUAUUUAACACUCAUCACAAAUGCUGUGUGUCUCAGGGAUCGAGGCAAUUAUUAAAGAAACACCUCUGCUUCCCAUCUUCCUCCUCUGCCAGGUAAACAGCACCCACCCUCCACCUCUCUCAGGCUUGUUCAGGGCCCAGGUCACUGAACAUGUUGCACAAAUAGGAUCCAAGAGACCAACAUCACCUUCAUCCCCGAGAGAAGGAAAUUCCUCAGGGGCCCUGUGUGUUGGAGUCGCGUCACUCUGCCGGACAGGAUGGGCGGAUUUAUGCAUUUAAACCACUGCCGAGGUUAAACACCAUUGCUGUGCCAGGAGAGGGGCCAAGUCUGCCAAGAUGAGGAUUUCAUGAUGAAGCAAAUUGCUGGCAUGGCUGCACUGGCCUCCAGCCCACAGGCCUGCACAUCAGUGGGGGCGAUGGGAGCUGCUGGGAGCCGGACCGCAUCUUCCAAGCCAGAGCGGCACCUGCCAGCUGGCCAGACGCCACGGGAGGGGCCUCGGCAGCCAGGGGCUAGGAAAGCAGAUGGCCUUGGCGACUCAGAGCAGCAAGGGUGUGAACUGGAAGUGGUGGUGGGAAGAGAGGAGUGCCCAGGAGGAAGGGGGCACAGCAAUGGUGGGGACAGGUGGGAGGGAUGGGCCGAAGUUUGCAUGAUGCCAUUUACCGUUCACAAUACUGCAGCCACCAGUUAGGAAGUACUUGCUUGUAACCAGAAUGAUGUGGAGAUUAGAGACCAGCUUCCCAGUGAAAGCACCAUGGACAAAGAGUAUGCAUUUUCUUUUCUGCUAAUUCCUUAAUAUUCUAACCUUUUUCAAAUUAAAAACAUCAUUAGUCUUCUUCACACUAAAAACCAUACAGGCACAUGUGUAUGUAUCAUAAUCUCUGCACAUUUCAGUUUGCAAUUUUUUUUUUGUAAACUAAAGGAAAAUUCAAAGAGGAAAUAUAUGUAAAAAGGUGAUCAUCAUGUCUUUGUUCCACACAAUCUGAAUGGUGUUUUUUUAACCAGAUAUUUACUUCUUUAAAAGCUCCCAGGUGACUGGAUGUUGGACAAAAGACAUAAAUGGGGAAGAAAACCAAUUCUUCUAAAGAUAAGACAAUUUAGGCAAAAUGGAAAGGUAAGAAGGAAAAAGAUUAAAAAUUAAGAAAUUUCCAAAACAAAACCAGACCAGAAAAGGAGGUCACUAGUGGCACAGACGGUUAAGGAUCUGGCAUUGUUACUGCUGUAGGACUGAAUCUGAGUCACAGCUGUGACCUGAGCCACUGCAGUCAGAUUCUUAACCAACUGCACUACAGUGGGAACUCUGAUGGGACACAUUUAUUAACCAUUUAACUUGCUUCAGAUCAUCCCCACAGCAAGAUAAAUGCCAACAAUUAGCACCCCCCAACAUAUGUAUCCAACAGUGAAUUAAACUAACAUUUGAAAUAGAGAGUGAUUUUAGAAAAUCACUACCAUAAGACCUAAAGGAGUGAGCCCAAGACCCCACACACUCUUAGCCCAUAGGUUAGAUGAACAGGUCCCCAUGGUCCACACCCAGGGGAGCAGAGACACACCAUAGAUAACUGAUUGGUUCAUGAAAUUAUGCAUAUUCCCAUCAUGCCUUGCAGCCUUUCCAGACGUGGUUCUCACCUCCUACCCUGGUCGCUGGUGGUCCUCCUUCCUGGAACUCACAUCAGACUCCUGCCCACCUUUGCCUGUCUGGUUUUCUGCACAGCCACGCAACCCCUAAGUCAUCCAUCAGGCCAUGGUAUUGACUGCAGGUUCUGCCUGUACGACAGAACCUGCAGUCAGUACCUGGGUGAUCUAAGAGUCCUGACUCCACUGGCCUCCUCCCGACCCUCCGCCCCACUGCACUCCCUCCCUUGUCAUUCUCCCUUGUCACUGUCACUCUUCCAACAUACUAAGCGUGUCCUGAUAGCAGGGAGCACAUGGAACAUUCUAGAACAUGCUACAACACUCUUCACUCAGGACCCUACUCCCCACUGAAACGCCAGCCCUCAGAUCUUCCCCAUCUAAGGGACCACCCUCUCUAACGAUCCAGGUCUGGCCCACGGAAGGUGCUUGGACACAAUUAGUGUGCAGACAAGGCACAUUCCGCCCCAAGAGCACCUAUGUGACUCAGACGCCAAGACCUCAGUUGGAAAUCCAAGUACUGAAAACGAUAUAAAAGGGCGGAGUUUUUCCUUCUAGGAGGGCAUGAGUUCACUGCCCUCGCUGGGAACCCGCCCCCCACCCCCACCCCGGUCACUAUGAGGUGCGUGAAGAACCCCACGGCCCAGAGGGAAGUAGGUCAUGGGAUGACUUUCUCCGGAAUUGGAUGCUCUGUAACUCACACGUAGUCCCUAGUGAGAGGGACGUGGUUGUGGUCAGAGGAGCAGAGUGGGGCUGAGGGGUACAAAUGGACUUCUCUCUCUGAGGUCAGUUCUUCAGACCCGCUGCCACCUGCUCUCCA
rnacentral:lncRNA from 1 species